CACCCCCUCGAAAAGAACAGAUGAAGCGGCAGCUAUACAUGCAAGUCGAGCGGUAGAGGAGCUUUCGGGUUCCUUGAGAGCGGCGCACGGGUGCGUAACACGUAUGCAACCUACCUUUUACAGGGGGAUAGCCCGGGGAAACCCGGAUUAAUACCCCAUGGCAUAGACGAAUCGCAUGGUUUGUUUAUUAAAGAUUCAUCGGUAAAAGAUGGGCAUGCGUCUGAUUAGCUAGUUGGGGGUGUAACGGACCACCAAGGCGACGAUCAGUAGGGGUUCUGAGAGGAAGGUCCCCCACACUGGCACUGAGAUACGGGCCAGACUCCUACGGGAGGCAGCAGUAGGGAAUAUUGGGCAAUGGUCGGAAGACUGACCCAGCCAUGCCGCGUGCAGGAAGACGGCCUAUUGGGUUGUAAACUGCUUUUAUACGGGAAGAAAAGGCCCAUGCGUGGGACAUUGCCGGUACCGUAUGAAUAAGCACCGGCUAACUCCGUGCCAGCAGCCGCGGUAAUACGGAGGGUGCAAGCGUUGUCCGGAUUUAUUGGGUUUAAAGGGUGCGUAGGCGGCUGUUUAAGUCAGUGGUGAAAGACUCCGGCUCAACCGGGGCAGUGCCAUUGAUACUGGACAGCUUGAGUGUUGGAGGGGUACAUGGAAUUGAUGGUGUAGCGGUGAAAUGCAUAGAUACCAUCACGAACACCGAUAGCGAAAGCAUUGUACUGGCCCAACAACUGACGCUGAGGCACGAAAGCAUGGGUAGCGAACAGGAUUAGAUACCCUGGUAGUCCAUGCCGUAACGAUGAUUACUCGCUGUUAUUCUUUUCGGGAGUAGCGGCCAAGCGAAAGCGUUAAGUAAUCCACCUGGGGAGUACGCCGCACGGUGAAACUCAAAGAAUUGACGGGGUCCGCCACAGCGGUGGAGCAUGGUGGUUUAUUCGAUGAUACGCGAGAACCUUACCUGGCUAGAAUGUGACGAUGAUUAGAGAAUAGAUCAGUCAGCAUGACUGAAACAGGUGCUGCAUGCCUGUCGUCAGCUCUGCCAUGAAGGUGUUUGGAUUAGUCCGCACCGAACGCCACCUAUUGUUUUAGUUGCCAGCACGUCAGCAGGAAUCUGACGACUGACUGCCCAGCCUAAAAGGAAAGAGGGU
rnacentral:rRNA from 1 species